UACGUAGGGUGCGAGCGUUAAUCGGAAUUACUGGGCGUAAAGCGUGCGCAGGCGGUUUUGUAGGACAGGUGUGAAAUCCCCGGGCUUAACCUGGGAACUGCGCUUGUGACUGCAAGACUCGAGUACGGCAGAGGGGGGUGGAAUUCCACGUGUAGCAGUGAAAUGCGUAGAGAUGUGGAGGAACACCGAUGGCGAAGGCAGCCCCCUGGGUCGAUACUGACGCUCAUGCACGAAAGCGUGGGGAGCAAACAGG
rnacentral:rRNA from 1 species